rnacentral:tRNA from 1 species
UCCCUGGUAACUUAGAUGGUAAAGAAUCUGCCUGCAACGCAGGAGACCCGAGUUCGAUCCCUGGGCCGGGAA